rnacentral:rRNA from 1 species
UACGGGAGGCAGCAGUGGGGAAUAUUGGACAAUGGGCGAAAGCCUGAUCCAGCCAUGCCGCAUGAGUGAAGAAGGCCUUCGGGUUUGUAAAGCUCUUUUAGUGAGAAAGAUAAUGACGGUACUCACAGAAGAAGUCCUGGCUAACUCCGUGCCAGCAGCCGCGGUAAUACGGAGAGGGCUAGCGUUAUUCGGAAUUAUUGGACGUAAAGAGCGCGUAGGCUGAUUAGUAAGUUAAAAGUGAAAUCCCAAAGCUUAACUUUGGAAUUGCUUUUUAAAACUGCUAGUCUAGAGAUUUGAAAGAGGAUAGAGGAAUUCCUAGUGUAGAGGUGAAAUUCGUAAAUAUUAGGAGGAACACCAGUGGCGAAGGCGUCUAUCUGGUUCAAAUCUGACGCUGAGGCGCGAAGGGCGUGGGGAGCAAACAGGGAUUAGAUACC